rnacentral:rRNA from 1 species
AUUGAACGCUGGCGGCAGGCCUAACACAUGCAAGUCGAGCGGAUGAAGGGAGCUUGCUCCUGGAUUCAGCGGCGGACGGGUGAGUAAUGCCUAGGAAUCUGCCUGGUAGUGGGGGAUAACGUCCGGAAACGGGCGCUAAUACCGCAUACGUCCUGAGGGAGAAAGUGGGGGAUCUUCGGACCUCAAGCUAUCAGAUGAGCCUAGGUCGGAUUAGCUAGUUGGUGGGGUAAAGGCCUACCAAGGCGACGAUCCGUAACUGGUCUGAGAGGAUGAUCAGUCACACUGGAACUGAGACACGGUCCAGACUCCUACGGGAGGCAGCAGUGGGGAAUAUUGCACAAUGGGCGAAAGCCUGAUCCAGCCAUGCCGCGUGUGUGAAGAAGGUCUUCGGAUUGUAAAGCACUUUAAGUUGGGAGGAAGGGCAGUAAGUUAAUACCUUGCUGUUUUGACGUUACCAACAGAAUAAGCCCCGGCUAACUUCGUG